rnacentral:rRNA from 1 species
CACGUAGGGCGCAAGCGUUGUCCGGAAUUAUUGGGCGUAAAGAGCUCGUAGGCGGUCUGUUGCGUCCGCUGUGAAAACUCGGGGCUUAACCCCGAGCCUGCAGUGGAUACGGGCAGACUAGAGGUAGGUAGGGGAGAAUGGAAUUCCCGGUGUAGCGGUGAAAUGCGCAGAUAUCAGGAGGAACACCGGUGGCGAAGGCGGGUCUCUGGACCACUACUGACGCUGAGGCGCGAAAGCUAGGGGAGCAAACAGG